AUGUGAACAUUUUCACAACUUUUUGAACCCAAAAGUUCAGGGAAAGACAUAAAAAAGUAACAAUAAAUAAUCCCUACCAGACAGGGUUCUUGCACCAGUCGGUAACUGGGGCUCCUAUAAUGUCCAUCCAUCCAUCCAUCCAUCCUACACAUAUCUACCUACCUACAUCCAUCCUCUGUAAGUUUUAUUAUCCAGUCAAAAGUUUUGCCGAUCUUCCACUGUCUACUUUAAGACACACACUGUUGAAUAUUUAGUUUAGUUCUCCGGGUACAUUUGUUUUCAAAUCUGCACAAAUAAACUGUUUGCUCUUUCUCUACACAUAACCAAUAGACCAAUAGUCUUGCUGACUACACCUACAGUGACUUAACUGACUGUUUCAAACCUUUCAUCACGUUCUUGAUUAGGUUAAGCCACAAAAACAACUUGGUAAGGUUUAGGAGACAAUUAUGGGUAAAAAUAUUGAAUUGACAUUGACAGUUUGUUUCAUGCAGGACAGGUAGGGAUUACAUGGUAGUCUGGGACAGAUAAUAAUUAUAUCUUAAUUACAUUUUCCUUUGAUGACCUUUUCUUCGGGGGAGGAAAGUUACAUGUUGUUACUGGAAAAAUCAUUGUUGUUUCCCGUUGUAAUUAUUGUUUUUUCCAUUCUUCCUGAAAAAGGAGGACUUCCAAUGAACAUUCAAAGACUGAAAAGAGACAGGGCAACAUGGGGAAGAGACCACCAGAGGACCUGGACGACCUUCAGUAUGCCAGUGUAUACUUUUCUAAUUCCAUCAGACCAGCUCGGCCCCGCAGACACACAGAGCAACAGGAUGUCACUGAGUACGCAGCUGUGAAAUUUAAAAGCAACAGUGCUGCCAUGAGAACUGGAAGUCAAGAAACUGGAGAGGAUUCAGCAGCACUGUACAG